AUUAUUAGGUGUCAGGUGGCAAUGGAAAUCGCCUCAUUAUUAUUGGAAACAGCUGUCCAUAUGCUUGCUGUGACAACGUGAAAGAACCUGGCGUUAUUAAGUGUGUGAGCUAGAUGUGUGAUGCAGAAGAGGAAUUUAUCCAGAUGGAGGUGACUGAUUCAUGACUGUCAGCCCAGAAGUGUCAACAUGGUCCCAAUCAACACUAUCAGGAGGAAAUGUGAUCCAGUCGCCACGGCAACCAAGCCCAGCGGUUUCAGGAAUACUCGAGAAAUUAAAAACAAGACGUUAUGUUUUCACCCCAGCAGAGCCUCCAAAGAAAACAACACUGGUGACCAGAGACUCAUCCUGGGCUUGGAGCCACACAUGUAAAGGAGCUGCAGGGGGAGAAAUGGGUGGCAUCUGUUAAACUCCAUGUUUAUGGUUUCACAGAUUUCCCCAUAUCUCUCACUUUAUGGCUGGAGGAGUGUCAAGAUUCCAAUAUUUUCCAAGAUUUUUUUUGUUGAGACUGAAAUCGAUCAGCAGCAUUGCAGUUGCUGGCCUUUAAGUCAGACAUUAGUGGUGUGAUCCAUUCGUCUGACUCAUGUUCCCUCAUUAGAUGCUGAAACCUUUUCUUUCAAUUUUAUUUCACCCUUUUCCAAUUUUCACUUGCCUUUGUUUUGCCCACUCAUUUUAUGCAAUUUUGGUUUCCUAAUCUCUUUGGUGACGCAAGGAAAGAGUGAAUAGGUGGAGCUUUUGGCUUUUCAAACCUAGAUUUUCCUGGAGCAUAUUUGAAAAGAAGACAUGUGUUGCAUUUGCAAAUGGACACAGUCACAUAAAUUUUCAUUAUUGUAGUAUUUUUAUAAAGUACCAAAAAUAGUGUCUGUCUCUUUGAUGCAUAAUUUUUGAUUAUCCCUUAUAACAGGGGCAGUUCUUAUAUAUUUGAUGUUCGUAAAUGUGCUAUACAAAGCAGUCUUUGGUUGUUCCGUGAUCUGCUUUUUAACUACUUAUAUCUACUUGCUCACCUUUACAAAAACGAUUUCUAAACUCUUGCAAAAAGAACAAUACGAAAUCCCAUUCCAUUUAACAAAAGCUGAUUUUUGAAUCUGUAGGGUCUGCAUUGUCUUUCUCAGUGCUUUAGCACAAACAAUGUAACUUUCCUAAACCUGCAAUUUUCCAGAUUGACCAUAAUUGAACUAUUUUGUGGUUUUGAUUUGUAGAGGUCCACCCUGCGGUCGCCUUAGAGAACCAUUAGGAUGGCUGGAUGACUGCGCUCAAGCCCGUCACCCUCAGCAGGGGGCAGCCUUUGUUUCUCCUAAUAAUCAGUUAAGGUCUUCUUCUACCCACGACCACUCAGUUAUCUCUGUCCGUAAUAACACAGCUGCCUGAGAAAUGUGGCAGGAGCCCCCUCGAAGCUCAGCGCUUUUGGUGAAAACGAGCCAGCAGCCGCUCUUUGAAGACAGGCUGCGUGGAGCAUACGACUCUCGAGCCCUCCCAGGGUUUAAUGUCUUAUUAUUUUCCUCAGACAGAAACAAAAUGAACAGUUUUGUCAGCGGGGACGCUGCUGUCUUUGUGUCACUUCCUUUAAACGCACAGCAAGAGGGGAGCAGGAUGAGAAAUGAGGGAAACUGUAGAAAGUCACUUUUGCGUCAUUAGCUGGAAUCUAACAUCUGAGGGUGUUUUCAGAGGAUCAGUCAUGUACUCAAGGCGAAUUAUAUAGGAGAAAGGAUCAGGAUGCUCAAACGUAGAGCCA